AUGUCAUCAAUAAACUUUGUUAAUUUCAAUAUUUGCAUCGGCAUACAACAACACCACUUCAAGUUGAUGUUUUUUAUUAUUUCAACAUCAGUUAAUUGUGUUUUGGGACUAUAUGUUUACUACUACAUCCAUCAAAAUUGUUGGCUUAGUCUUUGUGUUGUGUGGAACAUUUUUCGAGAUAUUUUUAUUGUUUAG